ensembl:lncRNA SNHG14 small nucleolar RNA host gene 14
GGAUCGAUGAUGACUUUCAUACAUGCAUUCCUUGGAAAGCUGAACAAAAUGAGUGAAAACUCUAUACCGUCAUCCUCGUCGAACUGAGGUCCAGCACAUUGCUCUUACAGGGGCUGGAGUGAGGGCCAAGUUUCAUUUGUUGCUGCAGGUUGCACCAAGGGGUUUGUUCAGUUGUAGGAGGGGCUCCCUUUCUGCAAGGGGUAGUCACAGGGUUGUGAGAUCUCUCAUAAAUAGGAAAUUGUUUUAGGGACUUCUCUCUGCAAGGUAACACACACACACCGUCUGUAGGACUAUGUGAAUGUGAAGGUGACAUGGGAAGACUUAGCCUGUAGCCUGCCUCUGGUGGCCAUAUUUGUCCUUGAGUCUUAGCUCUGGGUUCCAUCAUUCCCUUGAGGAAAGACAGGUGUUUGUGCUUGGGAAGAGAGCACAAAGCCCCACCUUUGCUGUUUUUUCCACUCAUUUUCAUCAUUGUUCAAGGACAUUGCAGUUCCGGUUUUAUCCAUAACCAGGGAAGCCAGAGACAGGCAGAUAGCAGAUAUGCCAUAGGGGGCCAGAUGACACGGCCCUCAUGACCUGUGAAUGUGUCUGCUUUUUUGAAGCACACUCGUAUUUCCGCUGCACUUCCCAGGUGGUGUUGGCAUGAGGAAAGGAGGUAUCUUCGAGGGACAAUCUUCUUCUUGUGCGAUCCUUGGAGAUGCCAUGAGGCCCCUGGACACAUGUGGUGUGGGCUCCUUUGGAGGCUGUUGUAUCCCUUCUGAAUGUGGCGUGGGCAUAGAAGGAAGGCCAGUGGCCACGAGGGACAAUCUUGGUCUUGGGAGAUCCUGGAAAUGAUAGGGAGUCCCUUGAUAUGUGUGGCAUGGGCUCCUUCAGGUGCUAGUGGAUUCCUUAGGAUGGUGGUGUUGGCAUGAAAGGCAGGCUUGUAUCAUGAGGAAUGAUUGUCAUCUUGUCUGAUUCUUGGAGAUGGCAGGAAGCCCCUGGAAACACAUGGUGUGGACUCUUUCACAGGCUGUUGAAACCCUCCUGAAUGGGCAAGGACUGGAUCGAUGAUGACUUCCAUAUGUACAUUCCUUGGAAAGCUGAACAAAAUGAGUGAAAACUCUAUACCGUCAUCCUCGUCGAACUGAGGUGUUGUGGCCAUGGAAGUAAGGCCAGUGGCUACGAGGGACAGUCUUCAUCUUGGGAGAUCCCUAGAGAGGGCAGGGAGCCCCUUGACAUGUGGAAUGUGAUCUCUGUUGGGUGCUGGUGGAUCCCACAGGUGGUCUGGCAUGGAAGAAGGCCAGAGGCUGCGAUGGAUCAUCUUUGUCUUGGGAGAUUCCUGGAGAUGGUGGGGAGCCCCUGGGCACGUGCAGCAUAUGUGGCGUGGGCUUCUUCAGGUGCUGGUGGAUCCCUCAGGAUGCUUUUCAAGGUUUUUCUAUGAGUUCUGUUAAAGAGUCUGAAAAUGGAGCGUAGAAGACAUGCUUCGAUUUCCAGGAUGGUUGUGUUUUCCAGAGAGGCGGAGGUAAACCACUGGCGCAGCCCUGCCUCCCACAGAUAAUUCCGGGUGCAGUGUUUCAUAUCUAGACUUGGACUUCUAUCCUACCAUACUUCUUUGUGUGCAGUUCAUUGUGGAACCAGCACAGAUUUUCAUACGAAAGUUAUUUCUUUUUAACCUCAAAAAGUGACAGAAUGGAGUGUAUCAUGAAAAAGUCUGACAUCAAAACCUCAAAAUGUGAUAUUGAUUGGGUGAGAUAGAAUUCCAUGGAAUUUCAUUGCCAAACCAGUGAAGUGCUAAUUUUGACAUUUGUACCAGCUAACGUAGCUGUGAAGAAACACACCAAUACACUUCUAAGGACAGCAUAGACCAAGAUCUAGGUUUCAUAUGGAUGAAUUUAUUCUUCCCUUUGAGGCAAGACAAGAAGGAAAGAAAGUAUUGGGAAUAAUGCUGCCCUCCCAUCCUCAAGGGCCAGUGGGAACUCUAAUAUUGAUUGGGUGAGAUACAAUUCCAUGGAAUUUUACCACUGAACCAGUGGAGGGCUAAUUUUGUCAUUUGUACCAGUUAACUAACUUGGGAGGAAACAGAACAACACACUCCUGAGAUUGGUUUUCACAGAAUUCCAUGGACUUUAACUGCUGAACCAAUGAUGCACUGAUUUUGUCACUUGUACCAGCUAACGCAUCUGGGAGGCAACAAAACAAUACUCUCCUGAGGUUAAUGUGGACCAAAAACUAGAUUUCAUAUAAAAGAGUUUAUUCCUUCUACUUGAGGUGUGACAUGAAGGAAAGUAAUGGAAAUAAUUCUGCCCUCCCAUUCUCAAGGGCCAGGGGGAAUUCAAAUAUUGAACGGAAGUGAUUUUGGAAUUGCAUGGAAUUCUCACUGCCAUCCCAAAGAAAUGCUGAUCUUGUCACUCUUACCUGUUUCAUUCCCUGGGGGCAGAACAAAAGGACGCACUCCAAAGAUCGGCAUGAACCAAGAACUGGGUUUCAUAUAAAAUAUUUUAUUCUGUCCUCUUGAGAUGUGACAUGAGAAAAGUAUUGAGAAUACUUCUAUCACCUCAUCUUCAAGAAUCCGUAGGAAUUCUCCCAUGGUGGACUUUACGGUUAACCUGAACAGGUCUUGGAAAAAGGACUUUAAACAUUCUCCUGUUCUGUGGAAUAAGUAUACUUUUUUCUGGACAUACACCUUGUCAGUGAGUUCCAUGUGAUACUAGAGUUGCAUAGAUUUUUAACCUUUACGCCAAUGAAGAUCUGAGGCAAACAUUGCCCCUUUUUUAGAAGUUUGCAUUUGUCACUGAUAACUGUAAUAAUUGAUCUUGUUGAAAAGCCUGGGAAAUGAAGAUCUGAUAUGUCACUUUUACCGGCUUCCUCAACUGAAAAAGAAUACAAUGAAACACGCUGAGAAUUUUUGUGCUUUCUCAGUCUUGCUGAUGAUCUUUCUAUGGGCCUGAAGCGUGGAGAGUGCCAGAGAGGCUGAUCCUCAGCAGUGUGGCAGAGGAAAGUUGGGUGCGACUAAGGGGUAUGCGGUGCCCACAUGCCACUGGGUCCUCAGCAGUACCACCUGAUUGGAAGUGAUAUUGGUGGAAGACAACAUUUUGCCGCUUGGAAUUCUCACCUCCACACCAAAGAAGUACUGUUUUUGUCAUUUGCACCAGCUUCUUUCUCCAGGAAAGAUCAAAACGAUGCACUGCAAGUGUGAUUGGUCCAGAUAGCUGCCUUAUCCAACUGCCUCCUUUGGACCACUUCAUCAUGGGACAGCUUGAUGCAAUCUACUUGACAAGACCCUGGAACCCCACACCCCUCAUGGAACCAGUGUCCACCUCCCAGUCACAGUGUGACCCCAGGGAACUCUUGCCUGCUUGCUUUAAACCCACCACUUAAAAGUCUCCACAGAAAACCUGUUUGAAUAGUACCCUUGACCCAAUAAGGGCAUUGGCCCCUGGGUGUCUCUCUCUCUCUCUCUCUCUCUCUCUCCCUCUCUCUCCCUCUCUCUCUCUCGCUCCCUGACCUCUGCGUGUGGACUCCAGGCAUGCCAUAUACCCCUCAGGACCUGAAGCAAAAGAAUGAAUUAAAGAAAACUCCAGAGAAUGAGCUGACAACCUACUCCCUGGUCAGUGGCUCUCCAUGCCUACCUGUGGUCUCUUGGACACCCUUGCAGAUGACUUCCUGGGAACUCUUCUGGGAGUGAAUGUUAUCAGCAAAUUCCCAAAACAACACCCCUUAGACAAAAAGCCUCCUCACCUAUGCAUUGCCUAGACCACCCACUAAAGGUGAUGGCCACAAAGAGGUGGAUUUGUUGAGUUGGUGCCAUUCCUUCUACUGCCAGCUUCACCAAAACAAUGACACAGUCUUCCUUCCGCAUGGAGACUCUUCUCUUUCCUGUGUUGCAGUGGAUGCCUCCUGCAGAUAAGAAAUGCUUAACUGAGAAAUGCUCAUGUUGGGAUAUCAUCGAUGAGACUUUAAUUUGGGCAUGGUGACUGUUUCCCUUGCUGCCACUUGACUCAAUCCCAGGAGCCUCAGUAGAGGAUAUAAUAUUACACAAGAUGCUCAAAAUGGUGGAAUUGCUCAGUGCUCCCAUAAAUAUACAUUUAUAAUUUUCAUUUGCCACAUGGUAAACUGAAAAAUACAGACUAUAUUAAAAAGAAACUGCAUGAUUUUUUUUCAAAAAUUCAAAGCAUAUUUAAAUAAUAUAUAAAUUAAAUGCCCUCCUCUCUUCCAAUUCUGUCCCUAUAGUUUUCCUCUAUUAAGUGAACUACAUGCAUUCUUUUAGUGGAUAGAUGCACACAAACACACAAGCCAUUAUGGGGAAGGAUCCACGUGUGUGGCCAUAUUGUAACACAUUUUUCUGCAAAUCACCUCUUUCAUUUAACAGCCCUUAUUCAAUGGCCUUUUUCUUUUUCAGUAGUACAUACACAUCUGUGUCAUUUGUUGAAUGACGACAUGAAUGUUUUGUAGAUAAAAUAUAAUUAAAUGUUUUAAGCAUUUCUCACUCAUAGAUAUUUAUGUUAGCACCAAAUUUCUGUGCAAUGAACCUCCCUAUAUAUCAGUAAUUUUGCAUUUGUCUAUAAUAUCAUAAUAAAU